UUUCUGAAUACAACAAUGUCAAGGAUUCUGUCUGUAGUGCAACGUCAGUGAUGGCAGGAAUGACAACUCUAUUUUUUUGUAUUCUAGUUUACAUGCUAAACUAAAUCCUAAUAUAGCAAAUCGAGAGAUGCCUCCCAAUCAGCUACUAUAUUUAAAUAAUGCUUUUAAACCAUGGUUUAAUAUCCUAAUAAUAAAAUCAGCCUUUAUAUUUAAAUAAUGUUUCUAAGCCAUAUUUCUAUAUCCUGUUAAUAAAACUUUUAAUAAAUAAAAUGCGUCUCUAAAAUUGCAAUUGAAAAAAACUUCGUUUUAUAAUUAUAAAGUAAUUAUAGAGCAAUUAAAGAAAUGAAUUUAUUUGGAUCAGGUAUAUCUAUUCAAUUGUUAAAAAAAUACGAAUUCCUAUUUAACUUUGAGUUCCCCCUUUCCACCUCUUCAUCACAAUGUAAAUUGUUUUGGCGAAGAGAAACAUAAACACGUUCUUUUAGCCAGGUGUAAAAAAAAAACAAAAAAAAAAAAACGCUGUCCAUUUGUAGAGUCCUAUUAGUUGAUUGUUCAUUUUUUUUUCUGCGGCCUGUCUGUUAAUUUGUCAAGUUUAGAACUAAAAAUUAAAAAGUGCUUUUAAAGAUCCAAUUUCAUCACUUUUGACUUGUUUCUUUUGUUUUGUUUGACAUGUUUUGGAUGCUCCUUAGGAGUUGAAGACAAUCUACGUCCUAGUCUAAACCUCCCGUAGGAUGAUGAGGCAUGGUAGUAGGAAAGGUAUGAACCCGUGACCAUCUAGAAGACCAAUCGUCUGUUUAGCGCGCAUACCACACCACCAGGCAUCCAUCAUGUCCGUGCUUAAUAGGUACAAGGGUUACUUAUGGGUUUUAAAAAAUGAUUUUUUUCUGUUGUCAAAUCUAAAUAUGCUUAUUUUAUGUAAACCAUUUUUAGAACAAUGUGGAAUAAAAAAUUAGUUCUUUUAUAAACAACUCACUACAGCAUCCAUAUUACCUUUCAACAAAUGUUUUAUUGCUAAAGAAUUAUAUUAAAGAAUGUA